AUUGAACGCUGGCGGCAGGCCUAACACAUGCAAGUCGAGCGAGCGGCGGACGGGUGAGUAAUGUAUGGGGACUUCCCGAUAUUGGGGGAUAACUACUGGCAACGGUGGCUAAUACCGCAUACUUUCGGAUAGCCUUUUUGGUAUUAGCUAGUAGGUAAGUUAAUGGGUUACCUAGGCGACGAUCCCUUGCUGGUCUGAGAGGAUGAUCAGCCACACGAGGACUGAGACACGGCCCAGACUCCACCGGAGGCAGCAGUGGGGAAUAUUGCACAAUGGGAGCAAACCGAAUGAAGCCAUGCCGCGUAUAUGAAGAAGGCCCUAGGGUUGUAAAGUACUGUCAGUCGGGAGGCGUUACCGACAGAAGAAGCACCGGCUAACUCCGUGCCAGCAGCCGCGGUAAUUC
rnacentral:rRNA from 1 species